rnacentral:rRNA from 1 species
AUUGAACGCUGGCGGCAGGCCUAACACAUGCAAGUCGAACGGUAACAGGAAGCAGCUUGCUGCUUCGCUGACGAGUGGCGGACGGGUGAGUAAUGUCUGGGAAACUGCCUGAUGGAGGGGGAUAACUACUGGAAACGGUAGCUAAUACCGCAUAACGUCGCAAGACCAAAGAGGGGGACCUUAGGGCCUCUUGCCAUCGGAUGUGCCCAGAUGGGAUUAGCUAGUAGGUGGGGUAACGGCUCACCUAGGCGACGAUCCCUAGCUGGUCUGAGAGGAUGAACAGCCACACUGGAACUGAGACACGGUCCAGACUCCUACGGGAGGCAGCAGUGGGGAAUAUUGCACAAUGGGCGCAAGCCUGAUGCAGCCAUGCCGCGUGUAUGAAGAAGGCCUUCGGGUUGUAAAGUACUUUCAGCGGGGAGGAAGGGAGUAAAGUUAAUACCUUUGCUCAUUGACGUUACCCGCAGAAGAGGCACCGGCUAACUCCGUG